UAUCAUAUUCUUGUCUUCUUCGAGUUUUUUGGAAGCUAUUCAAUAGAUUUAGUUUUCGAUAACAUAACUGUUUCUUUCAUGACCAGGGAAGAUAGAAAUGAAAGCGUGUCUGGUCUUUCUACUUCUUGACAUUGAAACUAAUUGGGUUCUUAUUGAACUCCGAGUCAUUGAAAAUCAAUAGAAUACUACAUACACAUAUAUUUAUGAACACAGUGGAUCUUCUUCUCCUCCUCUUGUUAUAUGAUCCACUAUCGUCUCCUGACCACGACGUCGUCGUUUUUUCCGUUACGCGUAUGCAGUUUCCCAUUUUGUUGUGUUUAUUUGAUGAUUGAGUUUGUUGAGAUAAAUAUUUAUAGCUUAAAUAUUUGAUUGUUAAUAUUUAAAAAUGAAUAUAAGGCUCGAGGGAAAAAG